AUGUAUAAAUGGUUGGAAAGACCCUUUAGUGGGUGUCAUUAUAGAUGGAUCUGGAAAGCUAAAAUUCCCCUCAAAAUCAAAAUAUUUAUGUGGCAGCUGGCCCAGGACGCUGUCCUCACUAGACAUGUCAUGAAAGGCGGAAGAUGGCCCGGUAAUCCUAGCUGCUCUUUUUGUAACAACAUAGAAACAUCCUUGCAUUUGUUCUUCACUUGUCAUGUUGCUAAAGUGGUGUGGCGGUGUAUUGGGAUGGUAUUGGGUACAAAUAGUUUUCGAAACAACUACUGGCAAUACUACUCUUCGUGCAACACUUUUCUCCUUAUCGGAGAGAGGUAUUAUACCAUGGCCAGUGCUACAAAUCAACCGGAUGAUAAUAAGAAAACAUAA
rnacentral:rRNA from 1 species